rnacentral:sRNA from 1 species
GUGAGGUACUUCGCUUGAUUAAACUUUAAUAUAAUUCAAAUUUCUGUUUAAUUGGAACUUUUUAUAAAAUCCAUUAAAUGGAAUUUAUAAAUGUUCUAGCCAAAGGAAAAGGAAGUGGAGGAGUAAAAACAGCCAAGUUAUAUGCCUGGGUAGCACUUCAGUCAUUGCCAGAAGAAAUGGUUAUCAGUCCCUGCCUAUUAGACUUUCUGGAAAAAGCUCUGGAAACUAUCCCAAUUACACCAAUUGAAAGGAAUUAUACAGCUGUCAGCUCACAAGAUGAAGAUAUGGGACAUUUUGAAAUACCAGAUCCUAUGGAAGAAUCAACAACAUCACUAGUGUCAUCUUCAACAUCUGCUUACUCUUCCUUCCCUGUAGAUGUUGUGGUUUAUGUACGAGUUCAGGUGACAUACUUCAUUUCUUUUUGUUUUAAAGAGAAAUGUUUUUCUUAAGUUAUUUGAACAUUUCAACAUUGUUACUGUUUAAAAGUUUUCUUAACCUCAGGUUCAUGAACCUUUAGUAUGUU